UAAUUGGCCCUUUUCAGGGCCACCAUAUAUUAUAUACGUGGAACAAU
rfam:Trichomalopsis sarcophagae strain Alberta scaffold6342, whole genome shotgun sequence.